GGCGAGAAAAGGGGCUGGGGCGGGACAUGGCGGGGGAGGGAGAGGGGAAGUGUGAGGGCAAGGCAGUCUUUGAGGGGCUAUGAGAGUUCAGGGCGCUGUGAGGGCUCGGGGAGCUGUGACGGGAGCGUGAGGGCUCAGGGGUUCCGGCCGAUAUGGGGGCUUGGAGGGCUGUAAGGACUCAGGGGUCUGUGAGGGCUUAGGGGUCUGUGACCGAGCGGUGAGGGUUUGGGGGAUCUGGGGGCUGAGAGGGCUCAGGGGGCCUUGAGGGUUUGGGGCUGUGAGGGCUUUUGGGGGAGGGGUGUAAGGGCUUGAGGGGUCUGACUGCUGUGAGGGCUCGGGGCUGUAAGGACUUGGGGGUCUGUGAGGAGAGUGCGAGGGCUCAGGGGCCCUUGAGGGUUCUGGGACUGUGAGGGCUCAGGGGGUCCAGCCAUUGUGAGGGGACCAUGAAGGUCCAUGGGGCUUAGGUCCUGAGGGGUUAGGAGGCUGUAAGGACUUGGGGGCUGUGAGGGGCUGUGAGGGCUUGGAGGUCUGUGAGGGAAUUGUGAGGGCCUAGGGGGCCAUGAAUGGUCUGGUGCUGUGAAGGCUUGGGGGGUCCAGCAUUUUGAGGGAGCCAUGAAGGUCCAUGGGCCUGUGAGGGCUCGGGGGGGCUGUGAAGGGUUGUGGGGCCAUGAUGGCUCUUGGGCCAGGCUGAGCCGUUCAGUGCCAGCUCCCCUGUGCUGUGAGGGGAGUGCCCCUGUGUCUGUGUGAGGUGGGUGCUGCUCACUGAGGCUUCCCCUUGGUGGCCCCUCCGUCCUGAGCUGUGUGUGGGUGCUGCAGCCCUGUCAUGAGGCAGCUGAACACUCCGGGCUGGAGAAACCACCCUUGCCUUUCCUCUGACCCUUAUUCCACCGCCCAGCUUUGUGAGCACAUUCCUGCCCAGCCAGUGUGUCCAUUGGUCACAGUUUCUAUUAAGCACACUUUGAUUAUUGUUUCAGCAGAGCCUUUCUAUGGUUAUAUGUAUUCAUCGGGAUGCCAGCUGGGUCUACAAGUCCCAGCAUCUCUUCUUGUUUCACACUGUAGCAAAAACUUGAAAGAGGCUCCUAAAGCCAGGGAGUCUCACCCUCCUGCCUCGUUGGGCUGAGGCAAAGGCAGCAGUGACCUCAAUCCUGCCGACACACAGAGCACACCAGGCCAGCUCUGUGUCACUCAGGCGCUCAUGUGACACACAGAGACGUUGUGCCUUGUACACAUAACCUGGGAUCUGUGCCUGGAUAACAAUAAUCCAAUCCUGUGCCUGCAUCAGGCGAGGAGGUGGCUGGAGAAGAACAGCCCUGUGGAGGUUGAAUAGCCUCUGGUAGUUAGCUUAAUAUAAAGGUUAUGGUGAUCGAUAUUUCUGGCAUAUAAACAUCAUAUUCCCACAGAGGUGCUGGAAGGAGUCCAGGAACUCUUGGAGCAGUCCCGGAGACCCUGGGAGGAGCCCCGGAGCAUCAGGAACCUGAGAGGAUCCUGGGACAGACCUGUGUCAGCCUCAGAGGUGCCCAGGGAGACACACACAGCUCAUCCUUCACAUCUGAAACCAGAAUGCAGGAGGUUUAUGCAGUUUCCUUUGAGAUAGCUGAGUAAUGCAGAGCCAUUAGGGUCCAGAUUUAUCCACUAAUUACGGGCAUUGAUUGAAUAGCAAACUCUGGGCUGUGUUCACACUGGGAUCAGUGAAAAGGGUUGGUUUGGCCCACCCCAGCUCAGCACCACUGACAACACAUUUCUGUUCUCUGUAAUGGUGUUUGAUGUGACCAAUUCCAAAAACUGCAGCAUCAUUUAAGUAUCAGAGGCAGCCAGGAUAAAUCUGGGCAGGACUUGCUCAAGAUUUCAUACAAGGCUGUACUAAUCAGUAAAGACAGCUUUUCCUCCAGGAUGUGAUGCCAUCUCUUCAGAGCAAUGCACAAAAGGAAUACAGUCUUCUUUCUGAUUAAAGGCAGGGAAUGUAGAAUGCCUUGCCUGUGUCGUGCUCUCCAGGAAAGUACAUUCAGCAUCAAUUCUCAUCAGGUGUGCUCAGCACAGCGUUCAUAAAUGUGUGCAUUCAGGGAGCCCUGGAAAACCCUCCCUAAAAUGGAGCAGGGGAGCCACUGCAGGGCUUGGAUGAUGUUUCCUGGUGCAGGUGCUGCUGGAUUUAAUGCAGAUACAGUUGGGGUUUUUUUCUGCCAGGGCCAGAAAGCAAAGGCCUGCACGUCAGUGCCAUCUAUUUCCUCACUUCCUUAGCAAUCCUGAGCCUUUGUGCUUCCCACAGCCUGUGCCUCAGCCAGUGCUGCCUUUCAUGUUUGGGAAGCUGCUCUGUAAUGUGUGGAGUGAGCAAUGUUUGUCACCCCAAGCAUUCCCAGAGGCAGUGUGAGAGUGGGAACGCUCUGCUCAGUUAAGGCUCCAAUACCUGUCUCCAGAACACCAUCAGGAUCUCUCCUGCAGAGAGGGGUAGGACCCUGUGGGUGGUUAAAUUUUGAGCUUCCACAGGUUUCCCUGGGAGAUUCGGCCACCUGAAUAUCUAUGGGAUAGGAGACAUUUCCAAUUAUUUGUGUAACAUUUAUUUUUGCUAAUUCUAGCCCAGCCAGUGAGUACUUCUGGUCUUAGCUACGUGCACAUCCACAGGAAAUGACAAUUCUAUCUUAAAUAUUUUUGCAUUUUAAAAAAAAUGCCAGUACUUUUAAGCUCUCUGUGAGAAGGAACACAGGAGUCUGAGCCAGGAAUCUCCACGGAGAGCUGCUGGAGCUGCCGACCAUCUCAGCCCUGUGACUUCUAACGCUGUGGCACCACGAAUUAGUGCGUGCCAGAAGGUGAGCUGGCAAGUGCCACAGCACGUCUGUGCCAGAACCUUGGCUCACAUGAAGCAUUCCUCCCAAGGCAAACCUCUGCAUGAACCUCUGAGCACUGGGCAUAUUCUAGGAGAAAAAGCUGCACGUUCCCUGGUCCUGCCUGAGCCAAAUGCUGAAGUGUGUUUGUGAUAGUCGCUGGUUUGGUGGAGAGGCUGCAGCUCGGUGGAGUGGGGAACGUUGGAAAGCAAAAGGGAGGGCAGAGAAGGGAAUAGCUCGACCAAGGUGGUUCCCACAUCGUGUUUUCACUGAAGACAUCUGUCUUAGCUGGUAUUUGAUUUCUUUGAAAGCUCUCCUCAAACUGCUGCGAGCAACGAGCAGGGAGGUUUCACCUCAUUUGGGGGCUUCUACACUUCCCAGCUAAAUUAUGCUGCUGAGAGACCAAAGUUCCUUGAAGUGAGGGGCUGCUUCCAGAGACUGGUGAGUGAGGAGUGCAGCUGUGGGAUUCCUGCUUGAGAGAAAUCAGAAGGGCUGGAUGGGAUCAAUCCACAGGCCCACCCAGGCCAGUAUCUUGUCUCUCAUGAUCUGCAGCAGUUACCAAAGAACAGAGCAAACAGAUCUGGAUGUGGCAGGUGGUUCAGGCAAUUCUUUAGCCACAAGCAAUUGCUGAGAGCAGCAGAACUGCAGUUGCACAUGAGCAGAGAUUAUCUGCCAGAAGGUCUCUCCCAGGGUUCAGCCUGAGUGAAAAGCAAGGGACCUGUGUAUAAACAUAAAGAACUUAUGGACAGAUAGAAAAUCUUCAUUAUUUAUCAUUUCCACAAUUGAAUUCUAACCAAAGGCCUGCAAGCAUCUUUGUUUCAAAGCUUGCCUAGAUCCUUCCAACAUUCUUCAGAAGGUUUGAGCAAAGAACACAUCAAAAGGUGUAGGCACGUCUCCCACCAACUAAAUACCAGCAGCCAGGUUAUCUGAAGUCAUUUUCUUUCACUGUGCCUUCAGGUGUUCCCAUUGUACCCCCAAAAUACAGCAAAACACAGCAAAACAGCUCUGGAGUAAACAGGCCAAAUCAGCACCCCCCAUCCCGCUCACUGAAACAUUCUGUGUUCACAAUAACCCCCCUGCUUUGAUCCCUUGCCAAGAAUAACACAGUCUAUUAAAACAUCUUUAAUAACAUGAUAUAAUUAAAAAUAUCUAACGUGC